CCCCAUACUGUUUUUCUGAAAGACAGUAUGGGGGUCCAUUCAGUCUGCAACGAGGGUUCGCUCGUG
rfam:Yersinia bercovieri ATCC 43970 contig01078, whole genome shotgun sequence.